rnacentral:rRNA from 1 species
GAUUAGUAUAAACGAGUGGCAAACGGAUGACUAGGAUGUUAUAAUUUGAGGACGUUAUAAAUACGAAAGAUGGGCAGAGAAGGUAUGAAAGCCCAUUUUCCAUAAGUAAACCUAAAUUCUAAACCCUAGGAAUUGAAACAUCUUAGUACUAGGAGGAAAAGAAAUCAAGCGAGAUUCCGUGAGUAGUGGCGAGCGAAAGCGGAUAUAGACUAUGGAAUCCCGCCUUUAGGGGCGGGGAUGAAAUUGAAAACCAAAGAGGGUAACAGGCCCGUAGAUAAAAUCGAUGAUUCCGUAGUUCUUGGAGUAGAACUAUUUGAAGAAAGGUGCUCCAUAUAUCUAAAACUAAAUAUUAUAACAUACCAAUAGUGAAUUAGUACUGUGAAGGAAAGUUGAAAGAGAUAAUAGUGAAAUAGAGCCUGAAAUUUGCCAUCUCACAAGCAGACGAAAUUCGUUGUACCUUUUGUAUAAUGGGUUCGCAAGAUAAAUAUUUGGCAAACUUAAGUUAAUAGACGUAGGUGUAGUGAAAACGAGUUUGAAUAGAGCGUUAGUCAAAUAGAGCCCGAAACCAAGUGAUCUAGCCAUGGGCAGUUUGAAACCCGUUUAAUAGCGGGCGGAGGAACGAACCGGUGAUUGUGGCAAAAAUCUCGGAUGACCUGUGGCUAGGGGUGAAAAGCCAAUCGAACUUGGAAAUAGCUGGUUUUCUGCGAAAACUAUUGAAGUAGUGCGUCAUAUGGCGGGAUAUCCGGGACGCAUCGGACCGACAUAGUCGGUCCGACGUCCUCGGAUAUCAGUAUAUUCUUACACAGUAAAGCACUGAAUGGGUUUAGGGGUUAGGCCUACUAAAUUCAACCAAACUAUGAAGGUGUAAGGAGAAAAUAUGAUAGACAGACAGUGGGCGAGAAGGUCCAUUGUCAAGAAGGGAACAACCUAGAUCAGAAGUUAAGGUCAUAAAUAUAAUCUAAGUGUAAAAGGGAAUUUGUAAAUUAAGACAAUGAGAAAGUAGGCUUGGAACCAGCCAUCUUUGAAAGAUUACGUAACAGUUCACUCAAUAAAUUUAUAGAUCCCAAAAAUUAUGGUGGCUUAAGCUUGUUAUACUAGCCACCUAGGUUAUCCUAGGUGGCCCCCUAGUCUCACUAGGGGGUAUGAAACCGAAACUCUGAAUAAAUACCAUAAGGGGCGAGGCCCCGGUGGCUUAUAGUGGUAGCAGAACGUACUGUAAAUAAUAACCAUCGGCCAAUCAAGCCGAUGGUUGGUUAUUGCGAAAGCGUUUAUCAGGAGUGAUAAUGCGAACAUGAGUAAAAAACAGUGUGAGGAUCACUGCUCACGGCCCAAGGUUUCCAAUCAUAGGAUUAUCCGGAUUGGGUUAUACAGUCCCUAAGAGGGCUUCAUAGUAUUCGGCGCCGAUGGUAUCAGGCCCCAUAGGAGCCUGUGCCUCGGUGCUAUUUCGAUGGGAGUAUUUAAUAACAAGUGUCUAAGAUAUUAUAAGAACUUAUUCAGGGUCGUAAGACCCUAGGCUGUACUAAAACUAACACCAGUGGGCAUAAAAGUGAUGGUAUAAUUUAUCUUAAGGAACUCGGCAAAAUGUCCCUGUAAGUUCGCAAGAAGGGGAGCCAGCUAUAGACAGAGGUAACCUGGACUAGGUUAUCUAAUUUGACUGGUCUCAGAAAAGAGGGGGUGUCGACUGUUUACCAAAAACAUAGCUUCCAGCAAAGGGCCAAGGGCCUGAAGUAUUGGAGGUGAGGCCUGCCCAAUGGUUGUAUCUAAAACCAAGUAAUAAAAAAAGUUAGCUUGGGUAAGGACAAUUGAAUGGCCGCGGUAAAUCUGACCGUGAUAAUGUAGCGCAAUCAAUAGCCAAUUAAUUGUUGGCAAGUAUGAAUGGCUUAACGAAUGCCCCGCUGUCUCAAGAUAAAAACCAAUGAAAUUGAAUUCGUAGUGAAGAUGCUACGUAUAAAUUGUUAGACGAGAAGACCCCAUUGAGCUUUACUGGAGACUUAUAUGGUUCUUUACCAAUUAAUUGUGUAGACUAUGUGGGUAAACCCUCGCGUAUGCCGGCACGGAAGCUACGCUUCCAUGCCGCAUGGGGUUAUAAUGCUAUAUCCGAGGACGAAGCCCCGGAUAUCCUUAAUGAAAAACCACUCUUUAAUUAUAAAAAGAACUAAAAUAAUGGAAAGGUAUAUGUCAGACAGUUUGGUUGGGGCGACCGCCUUCUAAAGAGUAACGAAGGCGUACAUAAGGUUAAUAAUAUAAUAGUAUAAAGUUUAAAGCCUGACAGCAAGGAGGACGUCCGAGCUGACACGCCGUAGGCAGCUGCGGCUGGCCUAUUCCGUGGGUUAUAAUGACCCGUUAGCUUAGAAUGGGAUAGCUAACGAGCAACGAAUAAAAGUUACCAUGGGGAUAACAGCGUAAUAUCGUUUGAGAGUUCAUAUCGACGACGAUGUUUGCGACCUCGAUGUUGAAUUGCGGGAUCCUGGAGGUGCAGCCGCUUCCAAGGGUUGGACUGUUCGUCCAUUAAAGCCGUACAUGAUUUGAGUUCAGACCGGCGUGAGCCAGGUCGGUUUCUAUCUACAAUUUAUGUAGGAAACAUUAGAUAUAACUAUAUUCUAGUACGAAAGGACCGAAUGAUUAGUUAUCCGCUGGUGAACCAAUUGUAGUUAAUCAAGGUCGAUGGCGAGGAAGCUCCGCUUCCAUGCCGCCUGAAGUAUUACUGUUGGGUGGCUACGAUAAUUAAAAUAAUCACUGAAUGCAUCUCAAGUGAGAAGUUAAAUAUCAUUCUAUGUUUCCAAUAUAUAGACUGUUUGAGAAUAAAACGUGGAUAGGAUCUGUGUUUAU